AUCAGUCUUUGUGAUGACCUUCUUGUUCUCCAUAAAAGUAUUCCAUAUUCAUGAGUCACAGGGUUACCCUUCUAGCAGCCAGGAUGGCAGACAAGCAGAACAAAAAGAGGUCAUCAGGCAUUCGCGAGUGCCCAGUCUUUUCAUAUGUCUCUCAAGGCCUUAUGUUUGUUUUCACUUUGGCUAAGCACAACAAUCUGCUUGGGAAAAAAAAAAUCUGGAGAAAACAAAGGUGCCUUUGCCAAUAUUUAUGUUUCGCGUUGACAAGCCCUGAGAUUUCUGAGGGGAAUCCACUAUAAAUGGGAUCAGGUCAUUUGUCUAUGUUGUGUGCAAAUAUAAUUUAAAGAAACAACCUCCGCAGUGAGUAUGCUUUCCUAAGGGUAGGCAUUUGGAGGACUAAGGGCGAAACAUUCUUCAAGAUCAACUAGUCAGGUGAGGCGUUCUUAACAUUCUGAAAUGCCCUCGUUACAAACAUUGGGUAUAAUAAGUUUACACUUAAUGGAUAAACUCUAGAAAAUACAAUCUUUAACUUGUGGAUGGACAAAGUCUGCAAAGCAAAAGCAAAAGCUUUGGCUAAGUUUUCAUAUUUUCUGUGUGAUUUCACUAAAGAAUCUUGUUUGCUUUUUGGCAUAAACAAUCAUAGAAUAUUUCCAAGUCUCAUUUAAGAUGAGAGCCAAGCCACAAAUUCUUAGCUAUACCUUGGAUAAUUCUAAAAUUCAGGUGGGUGUUGUCUAAUUGAUUUGCAUAUAAUUUGUAUAUAUCUUUCCUAGAAUUUCAAACUUCAGGUAUGUGGAUUUAACUAAUUUGUGUGUGCUCAUCAAUUUAAUUAGAAUCCCUCAAAAAUACUAGUUUCCUAAAUUUUACAUAGUGAAGGUCGCAUAUUCAACAAGUUUAUCUACAUAUAUAAUUAUAGAUUAUUUCUCAAUAUAAUGUCUUCAUCCUAACAGAAUCAUCUUUGUGAGUUUUUUCAAACCACCAAAAACUUCAAUUUAUAGUUACUUGCUCCCUAAUGCAAUGAGGUUAAUCAUCCAGCAUUAAUUGUAUAACGUGAUCAUUUUUAUGUAUCUGAAGAUGCUUAACUUGAAGAAUUAAUGUUGGCCCCUUGUAUUUGUUCUGUACUUAGUCCGUGACUAUAAUUACUAAUUUAUGUCUAAAAAGUAUUUAUAUUUUUCUACUCAAUAUUUUAUAUAUAAUUGAUUAUGGAAACUAUAGCAAAUAUUAAGGAUUUCCAA
rnacentral:lncRNA from 1 species